UUUUCUAUUUUCUGCCCUCUUCAUUUUUUCUAUUUUCUAUUUUUCUUUUUUCUAUUCUUCUUUUUUCUAUUUUCUAUUUUUUCUAUUUUCUGCCCUCUUCAUUUUUUUCUAUUUUCUUUUUUCUAUUCUUCUAUUUUUCUUUUUUCUAUUUUCUUCUUUUUUUUUCUGUUUUCUAUUUUCUUUUUUCUAUUUUCUGCCCUCUUCUUUUUUCUAUUUUCUUUUUUCUAUUUUCUGCCCUCUUCAUUUUUUCUAUUCUUUUCCCUCUUCUUUUUUUUUUUUUCCUAUUUUUUCUGUUUUCUCCUCCUUUUUGCCUAUUAUUUGCUCUUUUUCUUUGCUCUACUUUCUCCUCUUUUUUUUUCCUCCUGCCCAGGCGCGUCGCUGCCGCUCUUCUACACCUGGCUGGGGGUUUGGGAAGCCUCCCGCACCCGCGCGCCUCUCCUCAGCCUCUACAACCUCCUCCUCCUCCUCCCCUCGCCAUUUUUGGGCUCAAAUCUCGGCUUUUCCGGCUGCGUGAAGCA
rnacentral:lncRNA from 1 species